rnacentral:SRP_RNA from 1 species
GGCGGGUCUCCCCGCAUUCAAUCUUUGUGAAUCUGGUCAGGUCGGGAACGAAGCAGCCACAGCGAAGUAAUUGAAGUGCCGGGGGUCAGGCUCGCCACC